rnacentral:rRNA from 1 species
UACGGAGGGGGCUAGCGUUGUUCGGAAUUACUGGGCGUAAAGCGCGCGUAGGCGGACCUGCAAGUCGGGGGUGAAAGCCCGAGGCUCAACCUCGGAACUGCCUUCGAUACUGCGGGUCUCGAGUCCGGGAGAGGUGAGUGGAAUUCCUGGUGUAGAGGUGAAAUUCGUAGAUAUCAGGAGAAACACCGGUGGCGAAGGCGGCCGCCUGGACGACUACUGACGCUGAGACGCGAAAGCGUGGGGAGCAAACAGG